rnacentral:rRNA from 1 species
GACGAACGCUGGCGGCGUGCCUAAUACAUGCCAGUCGAGCGAGCGGAACUAACAGAUUUACUUCGGUAAUGACGUUAGGAAAGCGAGCGGCGGAUGGGUGAGUAACACGUGGGGAACCUGCCCCAUAGUCUGGGAUACCACUUGGAAACAGGUGCUAAUACCGGAUAAGAAAGCAGAUCGCAUGAUCAGCUUUUAAAAGGCGGCGUAAGCUGUCGCUAUGGGAUGGCCCCGCGGUGCAUUAGCUAGUUGGUAAGGUAAAGGCUUACCAAGGCGAUGAUGCAUAGCCGAGUUGAGAGACUGAUCGGCCACAUUGGGACUGAGACACGGCCCAAACUCCUACGGGAGGCAGCAGUAGGGAAUCUUCCACAAUGGACGCAAGUCUGAUGGAGCAACGCCGCGUGAGUGAAGAAGGUUUUCGGAUCGUAAAGCUCUGUUGUUGGUGAAGAAGGAUAGAGGUAGUAACUGGCCUUUAUUUGACGGUAAUCAACCAGAAAGUCACGGCUAACUACGUG